UUUAUGGAGAGUUUGAUCCUGGCUCAGGAUGAACGCUGGCGGCGUGCCUAAUACAUGCAAGUCGAGCGAACGGACGAGAAGCUUGCUUCUCUGAUGUUAGCGGCGGACGGGUGAGUAACACGUGGAUAACCUACCUAUAAGACUGGGAUAACUUCGGGAAACCGGAGCUAAUACCGGAUAAUAUUUUGAACCGCAUGGUUCAAAAGUGAAAGACGGUCUUGCUGUCACUUAUAGAUGGAUCCGCGCUGCAUUAGCUAGUUGGUAAGGUAACGGCUUACCAAGGCAACGAUGCAUAGCCGACCUGAGAGGGUGAUCGGCCACACUGGAACUGAGACACGGUCCAGACUCCUACGGGAGGCAGCAGUAGGGAAUCUUCCGCAAUGGGCGAAAGCCUGACGGAGCAACGCCGCGUGAGUGAUGAAGGUCUUCGGAUCGUAAAACUCUGUUAUUAGGGAAGAACAUAUGUGUAAGUAACUGUGCACAUCUUGACGGUACCUAAUCAGAAAGCCACGGCUAACUACGUGCCAGCAGCCGCGGUAAUACGUAGGUGGCAAGCGUUAUCCGGAAUUAUUGGGCGUAAAGCGCGCGUAGGCGGUUUUUUAAGUCUGAUGUGAAAGCCCACGGCUCAACCGUGGAGGGUCAUUGGAAACUGGAAAACUUGAGUGCAGAAGAGGAAAGUGGAAUUCCAUGUGUAGCGGUGAAAUGCGCAGAGAUAUGGAGGAACACCAGUGGCGAAGGCGACUUUCUGGUCUGUAACUGACGCUGAUGUGCGAAAGCGUGGGGAUCAAACAGGAUUAGAUACCCUGGUAGUCCACGCCGUAAACGAUGAGUGCUAAGUGUUAGGGGGUUUCCGCCCCUUAGUGCUGCAGCUAACGCAUUAAGCACUCCGCCUGGGGAGUACGACCGCAAGGUUGAAACUCAAAGGAAUUGACGGGGACCCGCACAAGCGGUGGAGCAUGUGGUUUAAUUCGAAGCAACGCGAAGAACCUUACCAAAUCUUGACAUCCUUUGACAACUCUAGAGAUAGAGCCUUCCCCUUCGGGGGACAAAGUGACAGGUGGUGCAUGGUUGUCGUCAGCUCGUGUCGUGAGAUGUUGGGUUAAGUCCCGCAACGAGCGCAACCCUUAAGCUUAGUUGCCAUCAUUAAGUUGGGCACUCUAAGUUGACUGCCGGUGACAAACCGGAGGAAGGUGGGGAUGACGUCAAAUCAUCAUGCCCCUUAUGAUUUGGGCUACACACGUGCUACAAUGGACAAUACAAAGGG
rnacentral:rRNA from 1 species